AGAGUUUGAUCCUGGCUCAGAUUGAACGCUGGCGGCAUGCCUUACACAUGCAAGUCGAACGGUAACGCGGGGCAACCUGGCGACGAGUGGCGAACGGGUGAGUAAUAUAUCGGAACGUGCCCAGUAGUGGGGGAUAGCCCGGCGAAAGCCGGAUUAAUACCGCAUACGACCUAAGGGUGAAAGCGGGGGAUCGCAAGACCUCGCGCUAUUGGAGCGGCCGAUAUCAGAUUAGGUAGUUGGUGGGGUAAAAGCCUACCAAGCCGACGAUCUGUAGCUGGUCUGAGAGGACGACCAGCCACACUGGGACUGAGACACGGCCCAGACUCCUACGGGAGGCAGCAGUGGGGAAUUUUGGACAAUGGGCGCAAGCCUGAUCCAGCCAUGCCGCGUGCGGGAAGAAGGCCUUCGGG
rnacentral:rRNA from 1 species